CCAAUAGCGUAUAUUAAAGUUGUUGCAGUUAAAAAGCUCGUAGUUGAACCUCGGGAUCAAUUGAUUGGUCAUGCCAUUGGUAUGUACUGGUCAUAUUGGUUCUCACCUUCUAAGGAACCUUAAUGUCAUUAAUUUGAUGUUUUGGGGAAUUAGGACUGUUACCUUGAAAAAAUUAGAGUGUUUAAAGCAGGCUAACGCUUGAAUACAUUAGCAUGGAAUAAUGAAAUAGGACAUCGCAUUCUAUUUUGUUGGUUUCUAGGAUCGAUGUAAUGAUUAAUAGGGAUAGUUGGGGGCAUUAGUAUUCAAUUGUCAGAGGUGAAAUUCUUGGAUUUAUUGAAGACUAACUACUGCGAAAGCAUUUGCCAAGGAUGUUUUCAUUAAUCAAGAACGAAAGUUAGGGGAUCGAAGACGAUCAGAUACCGUCGUAGUCUUAACCAUAAACUAUGCCGACUAGGGAUCGGAUGAUGUUGAUUUUUUAAUGACUCAUUCGGCACCUUACG
rnacentral:rRNA from 1 species